UACGGGGGGGGCAAGCGUUGUUCGGAAUUACUGGGCGUAAAGGGCUCGUAGGCGGCCAACUAAGUCAGACGUGAAAUCCCUCGGCUUAACCGGGGAACUGCGUCUGAUACUGGAUGGCUGGAGUUUGGGAGAGGGAUGCGGAAUUCCAGGUGUAGCGGUGAAAUGCGUAGAUAUCUGGAGGAACACCGGUGGCGAAGGCGGCAUCCUGGACCAACACUGACACUGAGGAGCGAAAGCCAGGGGAGCAAACGGG
rnacentral:rRNA from 1 species